rnacentral:rRNA from 1 species
AUUGAACGCUGGCGGCAGGCCUAACACAUGCAAGUCGAGCGGAUGAAGGGAGCUUGCUCCUGGUUUCAGCUGCGGACGGGUGAGUAAUGCCUAGGUAUCUGCCUGGUCGUGGGGGAUAACGUCCGGAAACGGGCCCUAAUACCGCAUACGUCCUGAGGUAGAAAGUGGGGGUUCUUCGGACCUCACGCUUUCUGCUGUGCCUAGUCCGGAUUAGCUAGUUGGUUGGGUAAAGGCCUACCAAGGCGACGAUCCGUAACUGGUCUGAGAGGCUGAUCAGUCACACUGGAACUGAGACACGGUCCAGACUCCUACGGGAGGCAGCAGUGGGGAAUAUUGGACAAUGGGCGAAAGCCUGAUCCAGCCAUGCCGCGUGAGUGAAGAAGGUCUUCGGAUUGUAAAGCACUUUAAGUAGGGAGGAAGGAAAGUAAGAUAAAACCUUGCUGUUUUGACGUUACCAACAGAAAAAGCACCGGCUAACUACGUG